rnacentral:piRNA from 1 species
UGUAUGAUCAAUAAAAAUAGA